rfam:Brachypodium distachyon strain Bd21 chromosome 1, whole genome shotgun sequence.
UGAUUGUGAUGACAAAAACUUUGUUUCCCGAUGCUGACACGUGAUUCAUUCAAGGACACAAUUUUGAUGAGAAUUACAUGCCUGAGACAA